rnacentral:lncRNA from 1 species
UUAUGCCUGGGGGAGGUUCCCCAGAAAAGUACAACUACUUUACAUGCUGUGCAGUAGUAGAAAUUAGAAUCUAGCUCUUUCUCAAAAACAACAGAAUAGCACAAAAGGAGAUGUGGGCUUUGAAGAGAAACAAGCCUUGACUGAGUCCAGUGGAUAAAGAAUACAUAUGCUAUCCUGGGCCCAGGAAGCCUGUCCCCCGUGGGACCAGGAUUAGAUUAACAACAUUCCACAUUCUGGCUGGAACAUUAGGGGUUCUAAGAUUCUGUUAAUUAUGCUGGGGUCCGGGGCUCAGAAGGGCCAGCCUCAAGACCCAGGGCUGUGAUGGGAUGGGUCAUAGUCCUUGAGGAGGGACCACUUGUCUAAUCAGUACCAGUGACUUCCACAUUUGCUGGGCUGAGCAGCCAUGUCCUGGAUGCGGGCAUGGGGCCAACUCUUCCUGCCAGUUUUCCUCUCCUUGUUUCUCAUCCAACUGCUUUUCCACUUCUCAGAUAAUGGCUUUUCCCACAUCUUCAGUCCGAGGAACAAGCAGAAAAGAAAGAGUGAGAUUGAGGAGGCAUGUGCUCAAAAGAGAAACUGUCAGUUGUGCACAGAAGAUAAGAAAAAAAUUAUACUUCAAAGAAAAAUAAUUCUUGUCCUGAAAAAGAAAACCACACUGAAACUUAACAAGGAUUUGUUGUAAGCGAAGGAAAAGCUGCCUUUUGAGAUGCAGUGAGAAUUUCCUUGGCAGUUCUAAUCCUGCAGGCUAGAAAGCGUGACACCCUGUUCAUUACCCACAAUAAAGCCGGGUCCCCUUCUCUGAUGAAUAAAAUGUCUGACGUCAUUACUGUUCAGUCCAGAUUUGGAAGAAAGCAGAAACACCAGAAAUAAAGAAAGCAACACCGAUACUCUGUGCUACUGAGAGCCCUGAGGCAACAUUUACAAAACCCC